rnacentral:rRNA from 1 species
UGGGGAAUUUUGGACAAUGGGCGAAAGCCUGAUCCAGCAAUGCCGCGUGUGUGAAGAAGGCCUUCGGGUUGUAAAGCACUUUUGUCCGGAAAGAAAUCCUUGGCUCUAAUACAGUCGGGGGAUGACGGUACCGGAAGAAUAAGCACCGGCUAACUACGUGCCAGCAGCCGCGGUAAUACGUAGGGUGCAAGCGUUAAUCGGAAUUACUGGGCGUAAAGCGUGCGCAGGCGGUUUGCUAAGACCGAUGUGAAAUCCCCGGGCUCAACCUGGGAACUGCAUUGGUGACUGGCAGGCUAGAGUAUGGCAGAGGGGGGUAGAAUUCCACGUGUAGCAGUGAAAUGCGUAGAGAUGUGGAGGAAUACCGAUGGCGAAGGCAGCCCCUGGGCCAAUACUGACGCUCAUGCACGAAAGCGUGGGGAGCAAACAGGAUUAGAUACCCUGGUAGUCCACGCCCUAAACGAUGUCAACUAGUUGUUGGGGAUUCAUUCCUUAGUAACGUAGCUAACGCGUGAAGUUGACCGCCUGGGGAGUACGGUCGCAAGAUUAAAACUUAAAGGAAUUGAC